rnacentral:rRNA from 1 species
UACGAAGGGGGCUAGCGUUGCUCGGAAUGACUGGGCGUAAAGGGCGCGUAGGCGGAUGGCACAGUCAGAUGUGAAAUUCCCGGGCUUAACCUGGGGGCUGCAUUUGAUACGUGUUGUCUAGAGUGAGGAAGAGGGUCGUGGAAUUCCCAGUGUAGAGGUGAAAUUCGUAGAUAUUGGGAAGAACACCAGUGGCGAAGGCGGCUUCCUGGACCGGUUCUGACACUGAGGAGCGAAAGCGUGGGGAGCGAUCCGG